rnacentral:lncRNA from 1 species
UGCUGCACUUGUAAAUAAUUUUAAUAGUAAAAUGCAAAUGUUGAAAUUAAAAGAGCAAUAAUUCAUCUGUUUUACUUUAAAAAAAUAAUCAAAUUCAAUAAACCAACCCCUCACUUUGACUUAUUUUCAGAGGUUCCCCUUAAACUGAAAACUGUCAACUAUAAUUCAAAAGUAAACAUGAAGGUAUUUUUGUUCUUGCAAAUUCCAAAAGUGUACCUUUGAAUUGGCCCUUAUUAAAAUUCAAAGAAAUUUUCAUUGACAUCUCUCAAUUUUUUGUCAUAUGCCCUUAAGCAAAAACCCAUGCAAGUUCUGUACAUUUCUUGUGACAAGGCCUCUCUGAUUUACUUGGACCUCAGCUUUUUGCCUUGUGCAUUCAGCUGUCUCUGGUAUUUACAGUCUAGUAAAUGACUUUAGUUUAUCCAUGUAAGAUUUAAAAUCUUGUGACAGUCAAAUCCGAGGUCUUGUGAUC